UUUUCUUCCCAUUUUAUCCUUAUCAUCCCCCGAAUCGUUCUCUUUCAAUCUAGCUUUAUGAUUGAAUCUCUACAGCCACAAACGAAUUCAGUUCUUUCGUAUUUCCUCCAUCAAUUGUUACUGGCCAUUCAUACCUGAUUCAAUAUACCAAUUUAAUUCCCAGAUACGUUUCAUACCAGCAAUUAUUUAACAUCGAACCCAUCAUGGAACUGGGUACUCAUUUGCAGAAGACAAUGGAGAAGGGGAAACCAGGCACGGCCUCCGGCCGGCCACCUGAAACUCGCAAUAACAAGGACAGUGAUUUGUUUUCAUUUUAGUUUAGCCGAUUAGGGUUUUGGCAUGAUACUCAAGAGGAAGUUGAAAUAGACAAUUCUAAUUUAAUCAAGUGCAGUUUUUCCGACUAUGCAAAUUUCAAGGUUAAAAUUGAGCAAAUUCAAGGUUAAGAUAGGGUUCCUCUCACUCUAUGAAUCCGCCGGUGAUGGUAGCAAUGGGUUUUGGCCUUUCAGCUAAAGAACCGAUGUUUGUGCAAGAUUCUGAAUUUUCAGUUAUUAAAUGCAUUGGGCUCACUCAAGGCGCAUAGGCGUUGCCUGGGGCCUAGAAGAAAGUAGGAAAAAAAGCGAGGGGCUAAUAAAAGGCCUGUGCUCUACAAUUUUAACACCAUUAUUUGAAUUUAUACCUCAGAACCUCAGGUAUGUAGACAAGAAUUUUUUUUGGGCAUUUAUGGGUGCAACAACUUUGUUUCCCGGUAUUGAAAUCGGUAUCCUUGUUGGGGUGAGCUACAGUUUCUGUAUUGCAUACUUCUUUUUGUGAUGGUUAUAAAGAAAAGCUAAAUAAGCGUUUGUGGGUCCGCCCAACCGGCCGUGCCACAUUCUAAAGACGGCUUGGUUGUGAAAUCUUGAAGAAGAUGUUUCUUUAUUAAUUUGAUUAUAGUUUAUAGCGAUGACGGAGUUAUAGCAUCCUUUAAUGUCCUAAACGGGGCGGUGAUUCCUUUCGGUCCGUGGAACCUGACGUGCAACGUGCGGCAUAAAAACAUAAAUAUCCGCGGCAACGCGCGGGCAUUCCCUUAUUUCAACUGUAAAAACUGAUUAGUUUUAAGUGAUGCAACAUCUCAAAGUGUUAGAAUGAUAGAUCUCUAUGUAAAAAGUAAAAAGUAAUUCGUUAGUCCUAAGGUUAAGAUUUGAUCCUAGAAAGGCAAUUAGAAAGUCUGGUAACACGAUGGAUGAGUCCCUAGAAAUUGCAUGGUAAUUCAUUGCAUUUAUAUCCUUUAGCA